UGCUAGUGUAGUCCUAUUAUUUGAUACCC
rnacentral:piRNA from 1 species